rnacentral:tRNA from 1 species
GGACCAUUAGCUCAGUGGAUAGAGUCGCAGACUUCGAAUCUGUUGGUCGGGGGUUCGAAUCCCUCAUGGUUCA